AACGAACGCUGGCGGCGCGCCUAAUACAUGCAAGUCGAGCGAGAAGACGUAGCAAUACGUUUGUAAAGCGGCGAACGGGUGAGGAAUACAUGGGUAACCUACCCUCGAGUGGGGAAUAACUAGCCGAAAGGUUAAGCUAAUACCGCGUACGCUCCUUGGACUUCGGUUCAGGGAGGAAAGCGAUACCGUGGGUAUCGCGCUCUUGGAUGGGCUCAUGUCCUAUCAGCUUGUUGGUGAGGUAACGGCUCACCAAGGCUUCGACGGGUAGCUGGUCUGAGAGGACGAUCAGCCACACUGGCACUGCGACACGGGCCAGACUCCUACGGGAGGCAGCAGUAAGGAAUAUUGCGCAAUGGGCGAAAGCCUGACGCAGUGACGCCGCGUGGGGGA
rnacentral:rRNA from 1 species